GCCCCCCACUCAACGGGGGGUAAACGGCGGUCCUACUCUGAGGAUCCUAAGGUAGCAUAAUAAGUUGGCGUUUAAUUGGCGUCUUGUAUGAAGGGGCACACGUGGGAACGACUGUCUCAUGUUUAACUAUUGAAACUAACCUGUAAGUGAAAAGGCUUGCAUGUGUAAGAGGGACGACAAGACCCUACGAAGCUUUACGGUCACUUUCGAUAGUAAAAAAUAGCGGUAGUGAAGUUUUGUUGGGGCAACAGGGGGGAAAUGUACCAUUCGAUUUCAUCCUAGUAUCAUGUCUGGAUUGGUGUAUUCUUUGUCUUACGUGAAGUAGCCACUAUUUUAGUGAAAACGAUUAAGUUACUCUAGGGAUAACAGCACAAUACCCUCAUAGAGUCCUUAUCGACGAGGGUGCUUGUGACCUCGAUGUCGGCUUAGCGUAACCUCCAGGCGGAGCAGCUUGG
rnacentral:rRNA from 1 species